rnacentral:lncRNA from 1 species
CUUUUUAUGACCAAUCUUUUCCACUUAACUCUAUGUUUCUACAUAAUUGAUUCUGCUUAAUCUUUGAGCCACUGUGUUUGAGGGGUUUAAGUUGUUUAUCUUGAAAGAGAGCAAAGCAAUUAGCUAUAAAAGGCCCCGGAAUGACAAAUGUAAAACAAUUCAGACGAGAAAACUAACAGCCUAAUCUAUUUACAAAAUAAUGAACGGAAAACAAAUAUGUGACACAUCAACAAACG